GACGAACGCUGGCGGCGUGCCUAACACAUGCAAGUCAACUUGACGGAAGGAGCAAUCUGACCGUAGAGUGGCGCAAGGGUGCGUAACGCGUAAGUAACUUGCCCCAAGGUAAGGAAUAACGUCGAGAAAUCGGCGCUAAUACCUCAUAAUGCAGCGGAUCCGCAUGGAUAUGUUGUUAAAGGUUUACCGCCUUGGGGAAUUAGGCUUGCGUCUGAUUAGCUAGUUGGUGUGGUAACGGCACACCAAGGCUACGAUCAGUAACUGGUCUGAGAGGAUGAUCAGUCACACUGGAACUGAGACACGGUCCAGACUCCUACGGGAGCAGCAGUGAGGAAUAUUGGGCAAUGCUCGAAAGAGUGACCCAGCAACGCCGCGUGGAGGAUGAAGGUAUUCUAUAUCGUAAACUACUCGUGAGAGCAG
rnacentral:rRNA from 1 species